AAAAAGUUUUAUUUUAGUUAAAAUGAUAAGUUUAUAUUUUUUUUACAUGUAAAUUUAAGUAUUAAGUAAUAUAAAUUUAAAAAGUUUAUAAUUAUGAAUUUUUAAUCUCAGUAUUUAGUUUUAAAUAUUAAGGAAACUUAGAUUUAGAAAUUUAUUUUAAUAUUAACAUAAUUUGUGCCAGCAGUUGCGGUUAUACAAAUAAUAUUAUUUAUCAUUUUUAAUUUGUAAUUAAUUGUAAUUUUAUAAUUUAGAAAUUAUAGUUUAUUAAGUGAAAUUUUAAAUUAUAGUAGAUUUUUAUUUAAGUUUAUGAAGUUAUUAAAUUUUAUUUGAAACUAGGAUUAGAUACCCUAUUAUAAAAAUGUAAAUAAUAAAAGUUAAAUUAUUAGUAGUUAUAGUCUUUAAAGUUAAAAAAUUUGGCGGUAUUUUAAUCUAUUCAGAGGAACCUGCCCUGUAAUUGAUAUUCCACGAUUAAAUUUACUUUCCUUAGAAAUUUGUAUAUCGUCGUAGUUGAAUAUUUUAGUAGAAUUACAAUAUUCAAAAUGUUUAAAUAGAAUAUAAAUCAGAUCAAGAUGCAGUUUAUAGUUAAGAAGAGGUGGGUUACAAUAAUGGUUAUUUAUGGAUUAUGUUUUGAAAAAAUUUAUGAAAUUGGAUUUGAUUGUAAUUAGAUUUAUAUUAGUUUAAUGAUUAAAGCUCUAAAAUAUGUACAUAUCGCCCGUCGCUCUCAUUUAAGUUGAGAUAAGUCGUAACAUAGUAAAUGUACUGGAAAGUGUAUUUAGCUUG
rnacentral:ncRNA from 1 species